UUGAAAGAAGAAAAGGAUAAAAGUUCUGCUGAGAAAAUGGAAUUGGAGGGAACAAUCAAUCGAUCGAAAGAGGAAAAUGCCUCUUAUGAUAGCAAAUGUUUUGAAAAAGAUGGGCCUUAAUUCUAUGCAAGAACCUACUACACAGACCAAUGUUAGAGGAGGAAAUCAAAAUGUGGACGAAAACACAGAAGAUGACUUUGAGGAGGAAAAUACUGACUCAAAUGGCUCUCAGAAGGAGAAUACUGACUUAGAUGAUGAUUGAUCUUUCAAUAUUUAUGUUUUCAAGUUUGGUGAAGGAUAUUAUAGCUUUCAUGUAUUAAUGAACAUUUGAUUCUAUUUUGUAGACGUUUUGAUAUUUUUUAUUGCAUAAUGCACUUUCUAGUUUUGGACAA